rnacentral:rRNA from 1 species
GACGAACGCUGGCGGCGUGCUUAACACAUGCAAGUCGAGCGGUAAGGCCCUUCGGGGUACGACGAGCGGCGAACGGGUGAGUAACACGUGGGUGACCUGCCUUUAGCUCUGGGAUAAGCCUGGGAAACUGGGUCUAAUACCGGAUAUGACCUCAUGACGCAUGUUGUGGGGUGGAAAGCCUUGUGCGGCUAGAGAUGGGCCCGCGGCCUAUCAGCUUGUUGGUGGGGUGAGGCCUACCAAGGCGACGACGGGUAGCCGGCCUGAGAGGGCGACCGGCCACACUGGGACUGAGACACGGCCCAGACUCCUACGGGAGGCAGCAGUGGGGAAUCUUGCGCAAUGGGCGAAAGCCUGACGCAGCGACGCCGCGUGAGGGAUGACGGCCU